GGGGAACCCUGGCUGUCCGGGUCCAAAUCCAUCAGGAUUCGGUCAACGGCACCGUGGGACAGUCCGUGCUCCUGCCCGUCUCCUACACGCUUGAUGGGGCCUCUCACUUCCCACUGUCCUUUCGCUGGAUGUUCCAUAACUCCUUGAAUGUGAUCAUCGCCUGUACAGUGCAGACCUGCUCCCUGGAUGCCGGGGGGGCUCCCAGCAACUGCUCUGCAAAAUGUUUCCCUGACUCCACGAAACGUGGCCGUGCUGAGGCCUUCCCCAAUAACGGGUCCCUGCUGCUGCGGGACCUGGAGCUCAGUGACAGUGGGGUUUAUGUUGUUAACUUCAAAGACCCACCCCAGCGCUGGCUUGAACUGCUCCCUGGAUGCCGGGGGGGCUGCCAGCAACUGCUCUGCAACAUGUUUCAUCCCCUCCAUGAAACGUGGCCGUGCUGAGUUCUUCCCCAAUAACGGGUCCCUGCUGCUGCAGGACCUGAAGCUCAGUGAUAGCGGGGUUUAUGUUGUCACCUUCAAAGAGCCACCCCAGAGCUGGUCCAUCACCCUGGCCGUGCACGAGCAGCGUUUCCUCCCCGAGCACCCACAUGAGGACCCCGAGUUUGGAGGAGGAGGAAGAAGAGGGUCUGCCUCUCACAUCCCCUGCUACAUCUUCGGAGGCUGCUACUGCUUCAUCCUGCUCGUCCUGCAGCUGCUCCUCCACCUCCCACGGCUCAGGCCCAGCUCCUGGCAGGCGUCAGACACCGAGUCCCGCUCAGUCCCGGACACCGAGCGCCGGCAGAGACGGCCGCAGCCCGGAGCAGCUCCGUUGCGGGGGUGAUGCUGCUCCCCAAAGCCUUUGGGCACUGCUGGAGAGCAGCCGGGGGAUGUGGGGGAGCAGCAGGAGGUGGGACCCCAAGGGGGAGUUCAUUACUGCAGUGUCUGUGUUAAUGAAAUGCACUGAGCUCUUUCCUGAGCCUCCUUUGCCUGGUGUCUCACUCUGGUCCUUCCCUGGCUGCUGGAGCACCCCGGGGCUGGUGAAGGCGGUGGCUGUCCUGCUGUCCUGCUGCAGAGGGACCCUGCCUCGCCUGGUGCCACCUCCCGUCUCUCAGCACUGGCAAAUGUGCCCGGGAGGUGCCCGACGAGGCAGAGGGUUCCCCAGUAUAAACCAGUCUCCCAGUGGCCCCACUCGACUGGCUCAGCUUUUCCCCCAGGCAGUGGCAGCCCCCCUGACCUGCCCCUGGGGACAUGGUGGAGGGUUCCCUGUCCCCAUCCUCUGUCCCCCCAGGGGCUGGGGUCUCCCCCCAGUUCUGCCCACCCUGGCACAGCCCCUGAGGGCCAGCCCCGGUGCGGAUGCCUCUGCAGCACUUCGUGUCCCUUCUCCACUCUGGGGAGGGCAAGGUGACCUGUUUGUUGUCAGCCACACACCCCUUCCUCCUCUCCCUGCACCCAGACCCCCCCUCUCCCUAUUCCCUGCCCCCUCCCCAGCCACACAAACCCCCUUCCUCCCACAGCCUGCUCCCCCCAGAACCCGGGGUUGUGUCUGCACCAUCACUUUGGGCCCUUCCAGCAGCCAAGCCAGAGGGGAGAUCAUUUCCCCAAAGCUUCUGGUGAGCCCAAGGUGGCCAAGGCCAAGGUUCCCCUCGUGUUACCAGGGGAGAGGAGGUGCCCCCCACACCUCUGGCCGUGGUGGGGGAGCUGAGAGGGGUGCGGGGGUUGGCAGCCCAGUCCCCACUGCAGCCCUGGCUCCCCCAGCACUGACUCAUGUCCCUCUGUGGUGGCCACCAGGCUGUGAUGGCUCAGCACCGUGUCAACCAAGAUGGAGUUCAAGCAGCCAGAUGGGGCUCUGCUUCUGCUCCAGCUGCCUCUGGGAGGGGGAGGCUGUGUGUGAGGGGGUCCAGACCCACCACCCCGCUCCCCUCCUGGCUAACGGGGCACUGGCCAGCAUUAACGGGGGAGCAGGAGCUGAGAAGGGCAGCCCUGAGGAGCUGGCAGUGCCCCCCACACCUCUGGCCGUGGUGGGGGAGCCAGGAGGGAUGUGGAGUUUGGCAGCCCAGUCCCCACUGCAGCCCUGGCUCCCCCCCCACUGACUCAUGUCCCUCUGUGGUGGCCACCAAGCUGUGAUGACUCAGCACCGUGUCAACCAAGAUGGAGUUCAAGCAGCCAGAUGGGGCUCUGCUUCUGCUCCAGCUGCCUCUGGGAGGGGGAGGCUGUGUGUGAGGGGGUCCAGACCCACCACCCCGCUCCCCUCCUGGCUAACGGGGCACUGGCCAACGUUAAUGGGGGAGCAGGAGCUGAGAAGGGCAGCCCUGAGGAGCUGGCAGUGGGGCUCAGGGGGCUGGUGGCUCCCGGCCAUUGAGCUGUCCCCUUGCUCCCAUGUUGGCAGCUCACUGCCCCCCUUCUUGAGGCUGGGUCCCCACAUCCCCAGCGGCAGCAGGUCCCUGGCGCAAGCGCUGCCACCUCAGGGCUUCCCCUGGCCCUGCUUGGGGAGAAGCUUUGUCCUCUCUGCAGCCAUGGAGCCUUCUUUCCUCUCUGGGACCUGUCUGCAGCCUUGUCUGCCUGAACCGUGCCUGCAUCCCUGCCUGCUGAACUGCAUCCCUGCCUGAUCAACUGCAUCCCUGCCUGCAUCCUUGCCUGCUGAACCGCAUCCCUGCCUGCAUCCCUGCCUGCUGGGACCUGCCUGCAUCCCUGCCUGAUUAACUGUGUCCCUGCCUGCUAGGACUUGCCUGCCAAACUGCAGCCCUGCCUGCAAAUCUGUCUGCUUGCCUGCAGCCUUGUCUGCCUGAACCCUAUGGGCUGGGACCUGCCUGCUCGGGGAUGUUCAUGUCUUGGGGAGAAGCUCUGUCCUCGCUGCAGCCAUGGAGCCUCCUUUCCUCUCUGCCUGCUGGGACCUGCCUGCACCCUGCCUGAACAACUGCAGCUCUGCCUGCAGCUCUGCUUGCACCCCUGCCCGCUGGGACCUGCCUGAUGAGCUGCAGCCCUGCCUGUCCCCUGCCUGCCCAGGGGCGGCUUUGGCAGCUCCCAGUCCCGCACUGGACCUGCUGCCCGUGGGUUUCCACCACCGCCUGGAGCUUUGCAGUCCCUUUCCCC
rnacentral:lncRNA from 1 species